CUCCACCCAGACUCAUCCAUAGUAUAAGUUAUAGAGAGUUUCUGUUGGCGCUGAUAUUGUCCCCUACAGCUACACACGACCGUACCGCAAACCGACACUGGUGCGCGAGAUGAGUAUUCUAAGGCGCUUGAGAGAACUCGGGAGAAGGAACUCGGCAAAUUGACACCGUAACUUCGGAAGAAGGUGUGCCCUAGUAGUGUGAAGUGAACAACGGAGCAUGAAUGGGUUGCAAAAAAUCGGUGGCUGCGACUGUUUAUUAAAAACACAGCACUCUGCAAACACGAAAGUGGACGUAUAGGGUGUGACGCCUGCCCGGUGCUGGAAGAUUAAAUGAUGGGGUGCAAGCUCUUGAUUGAAGUCCCAGUAAACGGCGGCCGUAACAAUAACGGUCCUAAGGUAGCGAAAUUCCUUGUCGGGUAAGUUCCGACCUGCACGAAUGGCGUAACGAUGGCCACACUGUCUCCUCCCGAGACUCAGCGAAGUUGAAAUGUUUGUGAUGAUGCAAUCUCCCCGCGGAAAGACGGAAAGACCCCAUGAACCUUUACUGUAGCUUUGUAUUGGACUUUGAACAGAUCUGUGUAGGAUAGGUGGGAGGCUUUGAAGCAGGGUCGCUAGAUCUUGUGGAGCCAACGUUGAAAUACCACCCUGGUGUGUUUGAGGUUCUAACCUAGGUCCAUUAUCCGGAUCGGGGACAGUGCAUGGUAGGCAGUUUGACUGGGGCGGUCUCCUCCCAAAGCGUAACGGAGGAGUUCGAAGGUACGCUAGUUACGGUCGGACAUCGUGACGAUAGUGCAAUGGCAUAAGCGUGCUUAACUGCGAGACUGACAAGUCGAGCAGAUGCGAAAGCAGGACAUAGUGAUCCGGUGGUUCUGUAUGGAAGGGCCAUCGCUCAACGGAUAAAAGGUACUCUGGGGAUAACAGGCUGAUACCGCCCAAGAGUUCAUAUCGACGGCGGUGUUUGGCACCUCGAUGUCGGCUCAUCUCAUCCUGGGGCUGUAGCCGGUCCCAAGGGUAUGGCUGUUCGCCAUUUAAAGAGGUACGUGAGCUGGGUUUAAAACGUCGUGAGACAGUUUGGUCCCUAUCUUCCGUGGGCGCUGCAGAUUUGAGGAAGCCUGCUCCUAGUACGAGAGGACCGGAGUGGACGCACCUCUGGUGUAUCGGUUGUCACGCCAGUGGCAUUGCCGAGUAGCUAUGUGCGGAAGAGAUAACCGCUGAAAGCAUCUAAGCGGGAAACUCGUUCCAAGAUGAGAUCUGCCGGGGCCUUGAGCCCCCUAAAGAGUCGUUCAAGACCAGGACGUUGAUAGGUCAGGUGUGGAAGCGCAGUAAUGCGUUAAGCUAACUGAUACUAAUUGCUCGUGCGGCUUGACCC
rnacentral:rRNA from 1 species